rnacentral:rRNA from 1 species
CAGCAGCCGCGGUAAUACGUAGGGUGCGAGCGUUAAUCGGAAUUACUGGGCGUAAAGCGGGCGCAGACGGUUACUUAAGCAGGAUGUGAAAUCCCCGGGCUCAACCUGGGAACUGCGUUCUGAACUGGGUGACUAGAGUGUGUCAGAGGGAGGUAGAAUUCCACGUGUAGCAGUGAAAUGCGUAGAGAUGCGGAGGAAUACCGAUGGCGAAGGCAGCCUCCUGGGAUAACACUGACGUUCAUGCCCGAAAGCGUGGGUAGCAAACAGGAUUAGAUACCCCCGUAGUCCCUGUCUCUUAUAC